rnacentral:tRNA from 2 species
GGCCCCUUAGCUCAGCGGUUAGAGCAGUCGACUCAUAAUCGAUUGGUCGCUGGUUCAAACCCAGCAGGGGCCACCA